rnacentral:rRNA from 1 species
GACGAACGCUGGCGGCGUGCUUAACACAUGCAAGUCGAACGGAAAGGCCCUGCUUUUGUGGGGUGCUCGAGUGGCGAACGGGUGAGUAACACGUGAGUAACCUGCCCUUGACUUUGGGAUAACUUCAGGAAACUGGGGCUAAUACCGGAUAGGAGCUCCUGCUGCAUGGUGGGGGUUGGAAAGUUUCGGCGGUUGGGGAUGGACUCGCGGCUUAUCAGCUUGUUGGUGGGGUAGUGGCUUACCAAGGCUUUGACGGGUAGCCGGCCUGAGAGGGUGACAGGACACAUUGGGACUGGAAUACGGCCCAGACUCCUACGGGAGGCAGCGGUGGGGAAUAGUGCACAAUGGGCGGAAGCCUGAUGCAGCAACGCCGCGUGCGGGAUGACGGCCUUCGGGUUGUAAUCCGCUUUCGCCUGUGACGAAGCGUGAGUGACGGUAAUGGGUAAAGAAGCACCGGCUAACUACGUG